rnacentral:tRNA from 1 species
UCCUAUGUGGUAUAGUGGUUUGAACAUUGGACUAUGACUCUGGAGACCAGGGUUCGAAUCUUUGCUCAGACA